rnacentral:rRNA from 1 species
AUUGAACGCUAGCGGGAUGCCUUACACAUGCAAGUCGAACGGAGUGGCGAACGGGUGAGUAAUGUAUCGGAACGUGCCCAGUAGCGGGGGAUAACUACGCGAAAGCGUAGCUAAUAACGCAUACUAUUGGAGCGGCCGAUAGCGGAGUAGCUAGUUGGUGGGGGAACGGCACACCAAGGGGACGAUCCGUAGCUGGUUUGAGAGGACGACCAGCCACACUGGGACUGAGACACGGCCCAGACUCCUUCGGGAGGCAGCAGUGGGGAAGUGUGGACAUGGGGGGAAUCCCUGAGCCAGCCAUCCCGCGUGUGCGAUGAAGGCCUUCGGGUUGUAAAGCACUUUUGGCAGGAAAGCGGUACCUGCAGAAUAAGCACCGGCUAACUUCGUGCCAGCAGCCGCGGUAAUUC